GUAUCAGGAAAUACGUUACAUUUUAAAACUAAUCUAAGCCAUUUCUGCAUUUCAAUGGAGUUACCCAAAAAAGUUAAUUGUACUUUAUAUUCAAGUCAACUUUUUGGUUUAAGCGGAGAAAUACCCAGAAUGCAGUCAAAAUCAAAGUCCAGAAAUUAAAGAAAGAAUCCGGACCAUCUCAUCUCUACCCCAUAGAUCCCUGAAGCUGAGAGUGGAGCUGUGCAGUCAGCAGGCAUGCAUUUGCCUGCACAACACACUGUGUAUACAUUAGCCACAUGCACACAGGCAGCACUGCUCUCAGCCUGAUGCACAGCAAGUGGGAGCUCUCCCCAGCUAACACCAGCUGACUUGGUUAUUUUAAUUACCUAUAAAAGUGUCAUUGCGGUCACCCAGUCACCAAAUUGGUUGGGGGGGGGGGUAAAUACCGCCUAGUCAAUACAUUUGCUGAUCUAUGAAGGUCCCUGAACCUAAUAAUAAAUGACAGACAAGGGAAGGGGGGGGUGAAAAAAGAGACAGAAGUAGUUUUAUCCUCACAUCAAAAGAUCAACGGUAAAUUACCACAGGGGUAAAAGGAAGGACCCCCAACUUCUAACUGAACCUCGAAACAGCCUCAGGAUAAAAUUCGGGGUGAUCAGGAAUCAGCCUGCUUACAAGAGUGGGAGCAGGGGGACUGUGUCACUCCUGUGUCUUUGUAGGCCAAAAUCAUGCUUGAUUUCUUCAUCAGCAUGAAAACAGAAUGACACUUCCAAAGUUGGCAACAAUUCCUCUUUCUCCACUAGUCUCCAAGGGGAGAAAAAGCAUCUAUGCCACCCAUAAUUAAAUGUAACUAAUUACAAUUUGAACACUAAAUUAUUUAUCCAGUGUAAACAAGGACUAAAAGGAAAUAAAGCUUCUAUCUGCAGCAGGGGUUCCAGAAAAUAAUUUGCAAUAAAUGCAUGCUCUCCAAAAGUCAGCACCCUCCCCCCCAGCACCCUCCCCACCAAAAUUGGGCACACAACUAAAAUAAGUUGAGUUUUUAAGGCUAAAUUAAAUAGGCCGUUCAACCAAUUUUCCAAUUAUAUUCUACGCUUGAAACAUAAUUGCCUUACAUCUGUUUACAAAUCUUUGCUCAAUAUUUAAACAAAUUCGUACUCUCCCGGGCACAUAGCUACACACACACAGUAACUCAGGCACAAAGCGCGUAUUUAAAGACCAUGCACUCCCAUUAUCAGCGUAAGCGCCGGGUUUAACAACGCGAAUGUUUUCAGAGCUAGGUAAUACGACCCAAUAAAAAGCAAAGAUGGCAUUUACCACCAAAUGUCACUGCCACCGCCAGGAAAGAGUUGCUGGAGCUCUAUACAUUUUU
rnacentral:lncRNA from 1 species